GAUGAACGCUAGCUACAGGCUUAACACAUGCAAGUCGAGGGACCGGCGCAAGGGUGAGUAAAACGUAACCAGCCUGCCAUUUACUCAAGAAUAGCCUUUCGAAAGACAGAUUAAUACCCGAUAUAAAGGAUGGGGAGGCGUUCCAUUAGGUUGUUGGGGAGGUAACGGCUCACCAAGCCUUCGAUGGAUAGGGGUUCUGAGAGGGAGGUCCCUCACAGUGGAACGGGGACACGGGCCAAACGCCUACUGGAGGUAGCAGGGAGGAAUAUUGGUCAAUGGGUGCGAGCCUGCACCAGCCAAGUAGCGUGAAGGAUGAAGGCUGAUGGGUCGUAAUCUUUUUUUAUAUACGAAUAUGUAAUAAAUGAAUAAGGAUCGGCUAACUCCGUGCCAGCCGCCGCGGUAAUUC
rnacentral:rRNA from 1 species